AUUACCUUCGCACUAUUCAAAUGCAUUACUGAACACAGAUAAUGAAAGGAGAAUUGGGCGCACCUGUUUCUGGAGAUGACGAAGAAGGUUGCAAUGCCGGUGGCUGUUAUUCUCGCUUGACUGCUUUCCUCUCUCUCCCCGUUGUGUCCACUGUCUUCCUUUUUUUCUUUUUCUUUUUAUUUCCCUGUUCUUGAGAUGAAGAAGCUGAGUCGGUAUGUCUGUUUCUUAAGAUGAAACACAGACAAUUGCAGGGAUCUCUCCUUUCUGUAUCUGUUACUCUCUUAUUCUCUCCUUCUCUGUGACUGUUAUCUUCCCCGACGAGAUCGUGGGCGAGAGACGUGGUCCACGAUCAGAUUUGUUGCAGAUUAUCAGCUCCCCUGCUGAAUCGGGAGCUCCCCUGUUGAAGCGGGAUGGAGAAGACGCACGGCUGUUAGCAACGGUGCCGUUUCGGCAGCAAAUGGGAAUUUUCAAUUUGACCCCUGCCUCUGGAAAUUUAACAAUUUGAUCCCAACAAUCUUUUAAUUUUACCCUUGGAUUAAUUUCAAUUAAGUCCCUGAAUUUAUUUAAUUAAUUAAAUCAAAGUUUAAUUAAGUCCUCGAACUCAUUAAUUUUUCAAUUAAACUCUUGAUUAAAAUAAUCUAAAUUUUAAUUGAAUCAAUUCUCCAAUUUAGCCAUUAAUUUAAUUAAUUAAACUGGUCAAGAGUUUAAUUAAAUCUUUAAACUUCCAAUCAUGUUGCCCUUAACCCAAAUUUUAAUUCAUUCUUCAAUUGUUUCAUUUUUACUUGUUUUUCAUCAAUUUUUUAGAAAAUAAAAUAAUUAAAAUAAAAAUAUCAAAAA